rnacentral:rRNA from 1 species
GAUGAACGCUGGCGGCGUGCUUAACACAUGCAAGUCGAACGGUGAACGAGGGAGCUUGCUCCCUCCGGAUCAGUGGCGAACGGGUGAGUAACACGUGAGCAAUCUGCCCUGGACUCUGGGAUAAGCGUUGGAAACGACGUCUAAUACCGGAUACGAGACGCGAAGGCAUCUUCAGAGUCUGGAAAGAACUUCGGUACAGGAUGAGCUCGCGGCCUAUCAGGUAGUUGGUGAGGUAACGGCUCACCAAGCCUACGACGGGUAGCCGGCCUGAGAGGGUGACCGGCCACACUGGGACUGAGACACGGCCCAGACUCCUACGGGAGGCAGCAGUGGGGAAUAUUGCACAAUGGGCGCAAGCCUGAUGCAGCAACGCCGCGUGAGGGACGACGGCCUUCGGGUUGUAAACCUCUUUUAGCAGGGAAGAAGCGAAAGUGACGGUACCUGCAGAAAAAGCACCGGCUAACUACGUGCCAGCAGCCGCCGUAAGAC